GAGGGUUCGAGUCCUCCAUGUGCAUAUAUGAGAUUAUUCUCUGGUUUGUGUGGCUACACGCACUGGGGCCCGAUCAGGGGGUGACAGCUGGGGCUCAUAUAGCCCAUGGGUACUAUUAUAUGACGGUUGAGCUACAGAAUUUAGGUUUAAGUUUUGAAAAACAUGUUAAUACUUGUUCUUUAUCCAGGCAUGUGAUAUAUAUUUAUGUAUGUGCAUUUGAUUAUGUACAUUGGCUUUUGAAUGAUUUAAACUGUUGAUCAUAUCAUUAUGUUAUCCUUAUCCCUGAGUUACAAUUAUGUUAUCCUUAUCCCUGAGUUACACGCUAGCAUUCACCCUGCUAAUUGUAUUUAGACAUUGUAUCUUAUGUGAUGCAGGAUUUGGUCGUACUUUCACUCCUCCUACUCAGUGACUUGGAUUU
rnacentral:lncRNA from 1 species